rnacentral:ribozyme from 2 species
UUACUAAUGCAGCCAAACGUAAACGACAGUUCCAAGCCUGGUGAAAAUGCAGAGGAGUAA